rnacentral:rRNA from 1 species
UACAGAGGGUGCAAGCGUUAAUCGGAAUUACUGGGCGUAAAGCGCAUGUAGGUGGAUGUACAAGUUUGAUGUGAAAGCCCUGGGCUUAACCUGGGAAUGGCGUUGAAGACUGUAGGUCUAGAGUUUGGCAGAGGGUCGUGGAAUUUCCGGUGUAGCGGUGAAAUGCGUAGAGAUCGGAAAGAACACCAGUGGCGAAGGCGGCGGCCUGGGCCAAAACUGACACUGAGGUGCGAAAGCGUGGGGAGCAAACAGG